GCAUGUGCACACAUCUGUUUACACAUCCACUCACACCUGGUGCACCCUCUGUAGUUCUAUGGCCUGGGGGGCUCUGCCCUCCUGCUGUGGCUCUACAUCUUUACACACACACCGAAAUAAAGUCUCAUGGAAUGUAUGUCGCGUUUAACGCAAUGAAAUACAACUUUCAGCAACGGAUCUCUUGGCUCUCGCAUCGAUGAAGAACGCAGCGAAAUGCGAUAAGUAAUGUGAAUUGCAGAAUUCAGUGAAUCAUCGAAUCUUUGAACGCACCUUGCGCCCUUUGGCUAUUCCGAAGGGCAUGCCUGUUUGAGUAUCAUGAACACCUCAACUCUCACGGCUUGCCGUGAUGAGCUUGGACUUUGGGGGUCUUGCUGGCCUGUGAGUCAGCUCCUCUCAAAUGAAUUAGCUUGCCAGUGUUUGGUGGCAUCACAGGUGUGAUAACUAUCUACGCUUGUGGUUUUCCACCAGGUAACCUUUAGCAAUGGAGGUUCGCUGGAGCUCAUAAUCGUCUCUCCUCAGCGAGGACAGAUUUUGACCAUUUGAUCUCAAAUCAGGUAGGACUACCCGCUGAACUUAAGCAUAUCAAUAAGCGGAGGAAAAGAAACUAACAAGGAUUCCCCUAGUAACUGCGAGUGAAGCGGGAAGAGCUCAAAUUUAAAAUCUGAUGUGCCUCUGGCCGUCCGAAUUGUAGUCU
rnacentral:rRNA from 1 species